GCGGGCGUGCUGGAAUCGGCAGACAGGCAUGUUUGAGGGGCAUGUGAGAAUUUCUCGUAUGGGUUCAAGUCCCAUCGCCCGCACCA
rnacentral:tRNA from 1 species